rnacentral:lncRNA from 1 species
CGAAACUACUUUCUGCUAAGUACCCUUCUUAUUUUUACUAAUUUGCUUUCAUCCCAUUCUUCCCUCUAACACUUUUUUAAACUCAGCUCUUCAUUUUUGACAUUUUCUUCUUUUGUGUGUGAAUGUAUGUGAGGCUGAUAGUUCCUUUCUAAUUAGCUUCCCACAGAGUAUGUCUGAGUAAGUGGCUUAGCAAGACCCACACUCUUGAACCUUCACUGGGGUUAGACUGCUCUGGUCUAUGUAUUCUAAAUACAGUUCAAAUAUUCCGUGACCAUUGUGGAUGAAUUAAAAAAUACGCAGGAAUUUUGUACUCUUAUUAGAUAUUAUGUGGAGCCUUUAAAGAAUGAGAGUCCUGUUCUGAGGAGACCUGGACAGGACACUAAGAGGCAUUUCCAGAGAUGCUCAGCAACUGAGAGGAUCCUGCAACGCUGUGAGCCUGCAGAUCAGACAGAGGUAAAAAGCAUGGAAAGAAUUCAAUGAUUGUGUACAUUCCAAGAGGAAGAAUUUUUGGAGAGCCCCGGCAACAGGAAAUUGCCUUGAGAGAAUUACAAAGAAGGGGAUGAUGUUGGGCCGGGGAUUUAGCUCAGUGGUUCUGCUGCCUGCCUCACAAGCGCCAAGUCCUGAGUUCAAUCCCCGGUACCUGCCCCCCAAACAAAAGGGAUGAUUCCAAAAUCAACACACCAAAAAGCCAAGUAUUCACUUGAGAGUGGCCCAUUCCUCCUGCCAUCUGAUGAGAUCUCUGAAUAAGAAAAUAAGAGACAUGGCCACCUGCCUUGCAGGUGCAAGGACCCAAGUUCAAUAACCAGUACAAGAAAAUGAAGAAAGAAAAAAAAAAGAGAGACAUGGUUGGCUUUCUUCAUUUGAGAGAAGGGUGGGGUUCCAAUUUAAGCAAGAACCCACUGAUUGUUGUGAAACCAGCAGUUCCUUAAUCAUGGAAAGGUGCAAAAAGAAAGAAAGCCUUCCAUCUUUUUUCCAUGAGAAAGAUAAGGCAAAAUGUGUUACCUGGAUGGACCUCAAUCCAUUACACCUCGUGUCUUAUGAAAGGGAGAAGUCUGAUCGCAGGUAGAGGGGAAGAAUGACAUGCAAAGAGACUUGGAAUUUGGCCCAUUGUUCACCAAAGAAAGAAGGAAGGAAAGGAGCCAGUCAUGCUAAAAACUUGAUGUUGGGCUUCCAGAACUAUGAGAGAAUAAAUUUGUGCUGCUGAGUCUCCCAGAUUUUGCUGUUUCUUAAUAGCAUCCCUAGCAAACUCCUAUGCCUACCCCCAUUGUUUCCUCCCCCUCAAUUAGUUCUGGAUCCAUACUUUCCGUAUUUUCUCACAUUACUCCAAAAU